rnacentral:lncRNA from 1 species
UAUUUAGAAUGAAAAUGAUGAACAAUUUGCGUCAUUGAUAAUCAUAUGACUUGUGAUGCUCUCGCCCUUGCCAAGCCCCUGUCUCUUUGUAUGUCGCGAGAUUGAACUUCGUUUCUUAUUAUUUCUUCUUCUGGUGCUCAACUAUUGGCAAUGCUAUGUUGUCUACUUUGUAUGCAGGAAUUUCCAUCUUCUAGUGACAGGCAUGACGUAUUGAACGCACUUUUCCAUUUAUAUGGACAUUGUAAUUGCGUUAACUGUUGUCAUUGGUGAUUCUCAGCAACUCUCUACUCUUGUGUUGGUGAAAAGUUCUUUUUGGACUGUUAAGAUUGCCUUCCAUUCUUUCUAGCCAUGGCAAGAACGUCCCUUGUGUGGUUGAUAUCCACAAACCUUUUGAUCAACGUUAGAGUAUAUCUCGGAGACGUUGGAUUCAAUUAUAUAUCCGCGUCUUUGGUCGCAUGGGUGGAGCAUUGGGUGCAAUUUGUCUGGAAAUUAAAAUCUACACUCUUAAUGAGUCUCUACGCUUCUCUUGGCCAAAAGUGCAGAUUGCAUUGCAAAGCUCUGCACAUAUAUCUAAUGUCACAGCGGGAAUGUGAAGAGAGAAUGUCCCUCAAAUGGUAAUUAAGUCCUUAUCGAAGAAGUUCAAUCUGAGCGGUUCACUGAAACGAGACAAAUAGCAGUUACAUUAGGACCACCAAAGGCAUCGUAUAGUGCAAUCUGGGUAUAUUCAGUCUAAUUAUGCAAUUCUAUACUUAGACUUGUCUUUGAUCAUUACGAAUUUCAAGCACACUUCAAGGUUUUGUGCUUCAAAGCCUCCUUCCGUGAAUAACCUAUAGAAGGGUUUGAACUGUAAGGGUGAGAGCAAGAGUGAGAGAAAUGGCAACCCACUACACGUCACCCUAAUGAACCAUCAGCUUCAUCACCCUCGCCGCAGGACCGAGCAUAACCACCUUCUCGAACAACACCGGUUCCACCGACCGAAAAAAUCACUGGAAGGUUAACGUUCGAAUCCCUCGGUUUUGUCGACCCAGCCUAAAUCCAAGUUUAUCUUAAAAAAAUAUCCUCUGAUAAAUGGUGAAUGUACAAACGACUGUCUGAUGGACGAUAGUGUCUCAUUUAGAGGACAAAGGACAAGAGAAAGGAUGCAAGAACUCGAUCGAGGGACAACCAGCACCCUCAUUGGCUAGACCCUAGUCCCACGCCGGACACUGGCCGCGUAAAAAAUUAUUCGUGAUCACACUUGCCCUUGCCAGCGCGCCUGAACGAGAUGAUGGCUAGAAUUUGCGCACCCCAAAUAUAACGUUACGGACACAACUUUGCCCAUGAGCAAGAGUUGCAUGCUGAAGCGUGCUGUUUCAACAAUUCUGAGUGAACUCAGCGCAGGAAAAUCAACAAAUUGCCAUCAUUCCCCUUCCAUUAGAUACUUUUCGCACAAAAGCAGGUUGAGUCCCAUUACACAGGUCCAAUCCCGCCUGAUCUUAAGUGGCCAGCUGCAAGCCAUUCCGACUAGUUUGCCACGCCCAGCUUUUCUACCCCAUGACUCAGUCCUAAGGCACACUCUUGAGCCCGUAUGUGAGGCUUCGGCUUCCUUGGCCACACAGACUGCAUGACUUGCAUGUGCCUACGGUGAUCUCCAAACUCGGAUUUCCUCCCGGAUUCUUGCAAGCUCUUCCUACCUCACUCUUUAUUUACUGAUCCAAGUGCGAUCCUGAAUUGUAGUGUGUGCCGCAGCAGGAGCUAGGUUACAAAAACAAUCCUAAGAACUCUUGUAGAAGCGGCAACAGAACCCAUAAAAGAGCUGCAAUCCGUUAUGGGUGGUUGCUUGUCGAGGCA